UCAGAUAUAUUAAAUUUUUCUUGUUUUAAACUUGCUCUUUUUCGACUUGCAAAUACACAGGAAACAGUAAAAGCAAAAAAGUUUAAAACUUGUAUUAAUCAUGUCCUCCGUACAUUUAUUUCAAAUGGCCGGAUCUGGUUAAUAUUAGGCGUCUACAUCGUGAGACUGAAAAAAGUGCAAGCAUAGUUAAUUGUUCUGUGCUGUUACUAUUUUGAAGUCAGCAAUUCAAACCCUGUUCCCAAGGAAUGCUACAGUUGUGGGCAAAGUUAUAUUAAAGGAAUCUAUUGCGGGAUAGACGUUUGAGCAGCUUCCCCUCACGACUUUUCAAUUUAAUUGUGUUGUGGGUAUGGUUCCUUGGCAAUUAGUGGCUCUUUGGUGGUGUUGCUGGUCCGUCUCAUUAAUUGUUUUCUGAUUUACAUUGCGUUGAUUUUAAUGUUUCAAGAUAAAAGCCAAAAUUAAUCAUGUUCAAACAAUCGUGAAACUGGGAAAUUUCUCGCUGGUAAUCAAAUUAAAUGUUUGGCAUAUCCAUUAGAAAUUAA